AACCCUGACCUCUUCUGAUUACUCAGUAUAUUUUCUCUCUGCUAACUUCACGAGCUUCUGGGAAUGCUUAAACCAGGUCAAUGUUUAUGGAGACCCUGUGUCUGAAGCUUCUACUUAUACUUAAGUAAUCUAAGAAAAUCAAGAAAGUUACUACAGGAUCGUAUCUAUAAUCAGCAGCUACAAUGUCUAUCCGCACUGUUUAAAUUCUGCUUGGAUCCCAGGGUCCCGUCUGAAGCAAAUGAAAUAACUUCUUUCAAGAAAAUGAACUGAAAGGUCACUUGGCUUCAGAAUCUUCUCCCUGUAAAUCUGCCACAUCUGAAGGAUGGAUAGGGUUUCAUUCUCUCUGCUCGGGACAAUCCUUCAACAUUAUUCUAGCAUGUAUCAUAUCAUAUCACAGUAUGCCUCCACAAGCAACAGUUGAGAUGCAUGCAUCCCACACUGUGAGUGUCAUGUUACGAAGAACAAGACAGCAGUCUCAUUACUUGUCUGGCAGUCUUAUAUUUUGGGGGAGGACUCCUCACUUUCUUCCCCGGCUCCAGCAUGGGGUCCCUCCCACGGGAGACAGUCCUCCAUGAACUUCUCCAACGUGGGCCCUUCCCACGGGCUGCAGUUCUUCACGAACUGUUCCAGCAUGGGUGUCUUCCAUGGGUUGCAGUCCU